rnacentral:rRNA from 1 species
GGGGAAUAUUGGGCAAUGGGCGCAAGCCUGACCCAGCGACGCCGCGUGAGGGAAGAAGGCCUUUGGGUCGUAAACCUCUGUUGUAUGGGAAGAAGGAAGUGACGGUACCAUACGAGGAAGUCCCGGCUAACUACGUGCCAGCAGCCGCGGUAAUACGUAGGGGACGAGCGUUGUCCGGAAUUACUGGGCGUAAAGGGCGCGCAGGCGGAUAUUUAAGUCAGCUGUAAAAGGCAUGAGCUCAACUCAUGUAUGCGGUUGAAACUGGGUAUCUAGAGUGCUGGAGAGGUAGGCGGAAUUCCCGGUGUAGCGGUGAAAUGCGUAGAUAUCGGGAAGAACACCAGUGGCGAAGGCGGCUUACUGGCCAGCAACUGACGCUGAGGCGCGAAAGCCAGGGGAGCGAACG